UACGUAGGGUGCAAGCGUUGUCCGGAAUUAUUGGGCGUAAAGAGCUCGUAGGCGGUUUGUCGCGUCUGCUGUGAAAACGCGAGGCUCAACCUCGCGCCCUGCAGUGGGUACGGGUAGACUAGAGUGCGGUAGGGGGAGAUUGGAAUUCCUGGUGUAGCGGUGGAAUGCGCAGAUAUCAGGAGGAACACCGAUGCGAAGGCAGAUCCCUGGGCCGUUACUGACGCUGAGGAGCGAAAGUGUGGGGAGCGAACAGG
rnacentral:rRNA from 1 species